GACGAACGCUGGCGGCGUGCUUAACACAUGCAAGUCGAACGGAAAGGCCCUGCUUUUGUGGGGUGCUCGAGUGGCGAACGGGUGAGUAACACGUGAGUAACCUGCCCUUGACUUUGGGAUAACUUCAGGAAACUGGGGCUAAUACCGGAUAGGAGCUCCUGCUGCAUGGUGGGGGUUGGAAAGUUUCGGCGGUUGGGGAUGGACUCGCGGCUUAUCAGCUUGUUGGUGGGGUAGUGGCUUACCAAGGCUUUGACGGGUAGCCGGCCUGAGAGGGUGACCGGCCACAUUGGGACUGAGAUACGGCCCAGACUCCUACGGGAGGCAGCAGUGGGGAAUAUUGCACAAUGGGCGGAAGCCUGAUGCAGCAACGCCGCGUGCGUGAUGACGGCCUUCGGGUUGUAAACCGCUUUCGCUUGUGACGAAGCGUGAGUGACGGUAAUGGGUAAAGAAGCACCGGCUAACUACGUG
rnacentral:rRNA from 1 species